UUUGGCAAGAGACCCAAAGUAUUGGAGCAAGCCUGAAGAAUUCUGGCCUGAGAGGUUCUUGAAUAAUUCUGUAGAUUUUAGAGGCCACCACUUAGAGUUCAUUCCAUUUGGAGCAGGUAGGAGAAGCUGCCCUGGAAUUCCAUUCGCCAUGCCAAUUAUUGAGACAAUGUUGGCGAAUCUGGUGAAGAAGUUUGAGUGGACAUUGCCUGGUGAAGCCGAGUUGGAGAACUUGGACAUUGCUGAAUCUAUUGGUAUUACGGCCCGUAGAAACAACCCCCUUUUUGCUAUUGCAACACCUAUUCCUCACUAGUGUUAAUGUGGGUAGCAAUAACUAUUCCUUUCUGGUGUUAAUGUAGGUACAAGUAAAAAUUUCUCGGUAAUGAAAUGUCGUGGGCUCUACGGCAGCCUGAGUUGCAAUUAAUAUUAUUA
rnacentral:misc_RNA from 1 species